UUGUAGGGAGGGAGCUCUUGGAAUUCACUUCACAGAAACUGUGCUCCCAGACAGCCUAGGUGGGGGGAUGCCUCAAGCCCAGGCUUUGCCUGUCCCCCUGCUUUGUCAUCUCAUUCUCAAGCCUUGGUCCCCAACCCAGGAAACAGGAUGGAGAUAGCAGCGUCGAACUCUGCGAAGACUGGAGGUCUGGCUCACGCAAGACUGUGAGGACAAAUGUCCCAGACUCCUGCCACCACCUGGCAUGUUGCAAGAUGUGCUCACUGAUGACUCACCUGUCCUCCAGCGGGGACUGGCCUCGUGGAGGGAAUCCGGCGUGGUUGCUAUUCCGGUUGCAGGAGAACAGCUUCCUUCCCUGGCAUUGUCCUCAGAGUCUGGAGGCCUAGUGGAGCAUGGGGAGAGCAGGCCUUUGCCUCUCCCAGCACACACUGCCAGUCCUUGGAUCCUUCUUGACUCGCUGGCAUCGUUCCCGCAUCUGAGAGCCACUGUUCAGACCCACAGGGCUGCCCAGGACCCCAGAACACACCGCAGAUCUUGUUUCCUGGCUCCGAGUCAUCUUGUCGCUCUCAAGACCAGCCAGUCCUCCUCCUGACCAGACUUAACUUCUGCCACCUCCUCCAGGAAGCUCUUCCUGAUUUCCAGGCCUGCAGGAACUGCUUUCUUCUGAGAGGUCCGAGG